UACGUAGGGUGCAAGCGUUGUCCGGAAUUAUUGGGCGUAAAGAGCUCGUAGGCGGUCUGUCGCGUCGGCUGUGAAAACCCGGGGCUCAACCCUCGGGCCUGCAGUCGAUACGGGCAGACUAGAGUUCGGCAGGGGAGACUGGAAUUCCUGGUGUAGCGGUGAAAUGCGCAGAUAUCAGGAGGAACACCGGUGGCGAAGGCGGGUCUCUGGGCCGAUACUGACGCUGAGGAGCGAAAGCGUGGGGAGCGAACAGG
rnacentral:rRNA from 1 species